rnacentral:rRNA from 1 species
GUAUAUGAGGUGAUUAAUUGGAGGGCAAAUCGAGUGCCAGCAGCCGCGGUAAUACUUGUUCCAAGAGUGUGUAUGAUGAUUGAUGCAGUUAAAAAGUCCGUAGUUUAUUAUUAAGAAGCAAUAUGAGGUGUACUGUAUAGUUGGAAAGAGAUGAAUUGUGACGACCCUGACUGGACGAACUGAAGCGAAAGCUGUACACUUGUAUGUAUUUUUUGAACAAGGACGUAAGCUGGAGGAUCGAAGAUGAUUAGAUACCAUUGUAGUUCCAGCAGUAAACUAUGCCGACGAUGUGAUAUGAGAUGUUGUAUUACACUAUAGAAAUUAGAGUUUUUGGCUCUGGGGAUAGUAUGAUCGCAAGAUUGAAAAUUAAAGAAAUUGACGGAAGAAUACCACAAGGAGUGGAUUGUGCGGCUUAAUUUGACUCAACGCGAGGUAACUUACCAAUAUUUUAUUGUUCGGCGAGGAUAUGAUCUGAGG